rnacentral:rRNA from 11 species
AGCCGUAGUCGAUGGGAAGCAGGUUAAUAUUCCUGCACUUGUAAUUAUUGCGAUGGAGGGACGGAGAAGGCUAGGUCAGCGCGGCGAUGGUUGUCCGCGUGAGAAGGUGUAGGCUGAAUUCUUAGGUAAAUCCGGGAAUUCUUAAGGCUGAGGCCGAGGACGAACUGAACCAACGUGUUCAGGAAGUGAUUGAUGCCAUGCUUCCAGGAAAAGCUUCUAAGCUAUAGAUAAUUACGAAUCGUACCCCAAACCGACACAGGUGGUCAGGUAGAGAAUACCAAGGCGCUUGAGAGAACUCGGGUGAAGGAACUAGGCAAAAUCGUACCGUAACUUCGGGAGA